GUCUAUGGCCAUUCCACCCUGAAUCUGCCCAAUCUUGUCUGAUCUCAGAAGCUAAGCAGGGUCAGGCCUGUUUAGUAGUUGGAUGAGAGACCACCUAGGAAUGCCAGGUACUGUAGGUG
rnacentral:rRNA from 1 species